rnacentral:rRNA from 1 species
UCGAACGAGGAGAGCGCUUUUAAAGCUUAGUGGCGGACGGGUGAGUAACGCGUGAGCACCUGCCUCUCAGAGGGGAAUAACGUUUUGAAAAGAACGCUAAUACCGCAUAACACCGCAUGAUCAAAGGAGCAAUCCGCUGAGAGAUGGGCUCGCGUCCGAUUAGUUAGUUGGUGAGGUAACGGCUCACCAAGACUACGAUCGGUAGCCGGACUGAGAGGUUGAUCGGCCACAUUGGGACUGAGACACGGCCCAGACUCCUACGGGAGGCAGCAGUGGGGGAUAUUGCGCAAUGGGGGAAACCCUGACGCAGCAACGCCGCGUGAAGGAAGAAGGUCUUCGGAUUGUAAACUUCUUUUGUCAGGGAGGAAUGACGGUACCUGACGAAUAAGCUCCGGCUAACUACGUGCCAGCAGCCGCGGUAAUACGUAGGGAGCGAGCGUUGUCCGGAUUUACUGGGUGUAAAGGGUGCGUAGGCGGCCGAGCAAGUCAGUUGUGAAAACUAUGGGCUUAACCCAUAACGUGCAAUUGAAACUGUCCGGCUUGAGUGAAGUAGAGGUAGGCGGAAUUCCCGGUGUAGCGGUGAAAUGCGUAGAGAUCGGGAGGAACACCAGUGGCGAAGGCGGCCUACUGGGCUUUAACUGACGCUGAGGCACGAAAGCAUGGGUAGCAAACAGGAUUAGAUACCCUGGUAGUCCAUGCCGUANACGAUGAUUACUAGGUGUGGGGGGACUGACCCUUCGUGCCGCAGU